rnacentral:rRNA from 1 species
UACAGAGGGUGCGAGCGUUGUUCGGAACUAUUGGGCGUAAAGGGCGCGUAGGCGGUGCCACAAGUCACUUGUGAAAUCCCCGGGCUUAACUCGGGGCCUGCAGGCGAAACUGUGGUGCUGGAGUAUGGGAGAGGUGCGUGGAAUUCCCGGUGUAGCGGUGAAAUGCGUAGAUAUCAGGAGGAACACCUGUGGUGUAGACAGCUUACUGGACCAUUUCUGACGCUGAGACACGAAAGCGUGGGUAGCAAACAGG